rnacentral:rRNA from 1 species
UGCAGUCGAGCGAAGCUUUUCNGUAGUUUACUACAGAAAAUGACUGAGCGGCGAACGGGUGAGUAACGCGUGAGCAAUCUACCUUAGUUACAGGGAUAGCCCGAGGAAACUCGGAUUAAUACCUGAUAUUCUUUAUUUCUCGCAUGAGAAUAAAAGGAAAGGUCAGCCGAACUAAGAUGAGCUCGCGUUCUAUCAGCUAGUUGGUGAGGUAAAAGCUCACCAAGGCUACGACGGAUAGCUGGUCUGAGAGGACGAUCAGCCACACUGGGACUGAGACACGGCCCAGACUCCUACGGGAGGCAGCAGUGGGGAAUAUUGCACAAUGGGCGCAAGCCUGAUGCAGCAACGCCGCGUGAGGGAUGAAGGCCUUCGGGUUGUAAACCUCUUUUAGCAGGGAAGAAGCGAAAGUGACGGUACCUGCAGAAAAAGCACCGGCUAACUACGUGCCAGCAGCCGCGGUAAUACGUAGGGUGCAAGCGUUGUCCGGAAUUAUUGGGCGUAAAGAGCUCGUAGGCGGUUUGUCACGUCUGCUGUGAAAAUCCAAGGCUCAACCUUGGACUUGCAGUGGGUACGGGCAGGCUAGAGUGCGGUAGGGGAGAUGGGAAUUCCUGGUGUAGCAGUGGAAUGCGCAGAUAUCAGGAGGAACACCAAUGGCGAAGGCACAUCUCUGGGCCGUAACUGACGCUGAGGAGCGAAAGCGUGGGGAGCGAACAGGAUUAGAUACCCUGGUAGA